AUGAUGAUCAAGAAGGACCACCUGGUCCUCGUAGCUCUCCUCGUGUCCAUUCAACAUGAUUGGGCGAAUGGCGCCUCAAGAACAAGAGAAUGGCGCAACCUUGUCAACUCGCCGGCAUUGCCACCAUACCAAGACUUGGUAGGAGGAGCCGGGCCUCCAACCCCCGCACACGACAUCCAGCCAUCGCCGCCGUAUUGCGCGUACCCUCCCCCUGCCAACCCCACCUCGCCGGCGGCGCCGUCGAUGCCCCCUCCAGCCGGUGUGCUGCCACCGUCCACGGCACCGGUCGGCAACCCCACCCCACCAGCCAACGCACCGGCGAGCCCCCGCGUGGCCCCACCGGCUGGUGCUCCCCGGGCGGGAGGCCCGGCAGCCAUCGGUGCGCCGCAGGGGCUGUGGUGUGUGGCGAACCCGACGGUGGAGAGCGUGGACGUGCAGGCGGCGAUGGACUACGCGUGCGGGUCGGGCACCGACUGCGGCAUGGCGGCGCCCGGCGGGCCGUGCUACCUGCCAGACACGCUGAUGGCGCUUGCUUCCUUCGCCUUCAACAGCUACUGGCAGCGCAACAAGGCCGCCGGCGGCACCUGCGACUUCGCCGGCUCCGCCAUGCUCAUCACCAAAGACCCCAGUUAUGAUGAGUGCCGGUAUGUGUACAUGUGA
rnacentral:rRNA from 1 species